GAGCAGGGGCCCCUCUCACUGGGCUGUCACAGUUCUUCCUGUCUGUAGCGCCCAACUGCAUGCCACCACCAGCUCCCAGGUGCCACGUUCAGGCGCGGUGGGAGCAAGAUGGAGCAGGAGCACUCCCUGGGCGCCCGUGUGUGCCAGCGCCAGUGCCAAGGGCAGAGGGUGAGACGAACGAGAGCCCCGGGGACUGGAGACGACUCCAGGGAAGGACCAGCAGACCUGCGGCAGGACACACAGCACCUGUUGGGAGAGGGGUGCCGAACCUCAGGAGCCACAGGAGUAAAGGGCUGAGGAGGCCAAAUGGAACAGAUUUCCACGGCCCCCAAAGCAUGGCGGUCCCACGUGCUGUGCCCACUGUGUCUGAGGGGCCUGGCCCAGGGGGUGGAACAAACCCAGCAUCUCUGGCACGAACCUUUCUUUAACCUGGGAGAUGCAAAUACAGUCAGUUCUAGACCUGGACUCUGGGUGCCAGUGAAGUUGUUCUGGGAUUGUUACCCUCCUGUGAGAAUACAGUCGCCAGGCACCGUGCAUUGAUCCAAUCUGAGAUUCUUCAUGGUGAGUAAGCACUCCCAGAUAUCUGGCCUUCUGCAUGUAUCUGGACUUCUUUGUUUUUUUAAUACUUAUUUAUUUGGCUGUGUCGGGUCUCAUGGGCUCUCUAGUUGUGGCAUGUAGGCUUAGCUGCCCCACAGUGCUUGGGAUCUUAAUUCCCUCACCAGG